AUCAGCGGGGAUAGCACUUUGAAUACACUAGUUCCCCAUGGAACACUGAAGUUAAGCAACGUUGCGCGUGGUUAGUAUCCGGACGAAGCAACACUCAAGGCUGGGU
rnacentral:rRNA from 1 species